AACGAACGCUGGCGGCAUGCCUAACACAUGCCAGUCGAACGAGACCUUCGGGUCUAGUGGCGCACGGGUGCGUAACGCGUGGGAACCUGCCUUUAGGUUCGGAAUAACUCAGAGAAAUUUGUGCUAAUACCGGAUGAUGUCUUCGGACCAAAGAUUUAUCGCCUUUGGAUGGGCCCGCGUUGGAUUAGCUAGUUGGUGGGGUAAAGGCCUACCAAGGCGACGAUCCAUAGCUGGUCUGAGAGGAUGAUCAGCCACACUGGGACUGAGACACGGCCCAGACUCCUACGGGAGGCAGCAGUGGGGAAUAUUGGACAAUGGGCGAAAGCCUGAUCCAGCAAUGCCGCGUGAGUGAUGAAGGCCUUAGGGUUGUAAAGCUCUUUUACCCGAGAUGAUAAUGACAGUACCGGGAGAAUAAGCUCCGGCUAACUCCGUG
rnacentral:rRNA from 1 species